UUAAUGAAUUAUGGAAAGAAAAUCAAGUAGGAAAAAUUGUGACAAUGAUGCACCAUUUUGGCCGAAUUUUUCGAAGAAGGAAUAUGAAUGUGGCUUUGCUGAUUUUUGGGUUAUUUGGCUGGACAUUGGUGAUUUGAAGCAUUAGAAAAAGAAAUGGGAUCAAUUGGAGCUAAAUUGGAUGCGUAUUUCAAUUUAUCGGGUGGUGUGCCCUUCGACAAAGGCAAGGAAAUUACGCUUGGGGAUCACUAAGCUGAGUACACCCGAAAUCUGAACUUUUGAAACCUGCCGGGUUAGCCUGUAGAUAGCAGACAUAGUCGAGAACUAUAGUUGGCCAUACUACUUCAAAAAUUGUAGGUUUACUGUCUUUACUACUUUUGUUCAUUUAUGGGCCCACGUAGCACUGUAAAUUAAAUUUCAUACUUUGGUUUUCCGUAUUAUAGUUUGUAUAAAUAUAUUUAAC